CGACCGGCGCGACGGGUGAGUAACGCGUAUGCUAACUUACCUAUCAGGAGGGGACUAACCCGGCGAAAGUCGGACUAAUACCGCAUGAAGCAGGGGCCCCGCAUGGGGAUAUUUGCUAAAGAUUCAUCGCUGAUAGAUAGGCAUGCGUUCCAUUAGGCAGUUGGCGGGGUAACGGCCCACCAAACCGACGAUGGAUAGGGGUUCUGAGAGGAAGGUCCCCCACAUUGGUACUGAGACACGGACCAAACUCCUACGGGAGGCAGCAG
rnacentral:rRNA from 1 species